GGCGAACCGUGCGAACGUUUGUUCGGAAUCACUGGGCUUAAAGGGCGCGUAGGCGGGAUUGCAAGUCUGUGGUGAAAUCCCCCGGCUCAACCGGGGAACUGCCGUGGAUACUGCGAUUCUCGAGGGGUGUAGGGGCAUGCGGAACUUCCGGUGGAGCGGUGAAAUGCGUAGAGAUCAUAAGGAAGACCAGUGGCGAAGGCGGGUCUCUGGACAGUUCCUGACACUGAGGCACGAAAGGCCAGGGGGAGCAAACGGGG
rnacentral:rRNA from 1 species